GGAAAUGUAUCGUACAGCGAUGCGAUUUCGGGCACCGAUGGUCAUUCGCUUAAAGUAUCGCAACCAAUUCCAUUGUGAAUGGGAUAUCUCCCGAAUUUUCGAACAAAACCACGCUGAUUAGAGCCGAGCCGCUGCGUCUAAGCAGAAAUUAAACUGAUGUGCGUCAAUGUGAUGGGAUCCUGAUUCCGAACUGUUCUCCAAGGCUCAAUUGCUGACAAAAUACGACUGCAUCACAACUUUUCACGCUUUAAGGGCAAAUGGCUUGUUAGGCUUCCUUCAAUUGCGGCUCAAUCAGUUACUGCAAUGGCAAUGAAGAAUGCAUGAUCAGGGAAGUACGAUUGGAGAGGCUAUAGGGAAAAUUAUGCUACAUUUUUAAAAUAAAUCAUUGUGAGAAAAGAACUAGAAACAUACUGCACUUAUUUUGAAGAUUAAUUAAUUAUGAGAUCAACACAUACAUGAUGUUUUUUCUUUUUCUAAUGAAAAAUAUUUAGAAGCGUUCUCCAAGUGGUCUCAUUAUCAAUUCUGUAAUUUGAACAUGUGGAGGGGUUCCCAGAACAUAAACAAAAAGAGGCAGCUACGUCUUCAGAUUCUAAAGCGGGUUUCUUAGUAACUAAUGUUCCGAUAUGCGAAUUUGAACUUGCUUCUGUCAUUUCCGUUUUCACGUAUCCUGGACUGAUACUCUGUGUAAAAUACGUCAAAUUGUUAGUAUUUAUUAUUACAUUCUUAUAUAGUAAUU